CCCGCCUCUCAGCUGAUCGGCGGGUGGGCGGGUCUUCCACAGAGGCCUCGUGUAGGCCUCUGUGAAGCCUGAACUCCAGUAGGGCCCAAGCCAGCCAGGAAGGAGGAGGCAGCCAGAGUGGCCACCACUGCUCUCUGCAGCAGAAGACCCCCUGCUGCCCUGCCGAACCCAGCAUUUGCCAGGUGCGGCAUCAUCCAAACUGAAGUCAAUGAAGUCUCCUCUCCCUACGUAAUGCUGUUGUGUUGGUGUUGAAGGGGAUUGCACCGGUGUUUGUGCUGGAGACAGUUGAAGUACUCUCCGGGUUGCACUGUGGCAAAUGAUGAACAGAGGAGUCAGCAAUGAGGUGUUGACACUUUGGAGGUCAAACAGAAACUAGAAAAAUGACACUCCAACUUCAACAGAAGCCCAGAGGACGCAGAGUGGAUGUCAUGAGGAGCUAGUUAAUCUACCUGGAAGAUCCCUGCACAGGCACAGAAUCCAUUCCUUAUGAGUGCAACAGAUCAUGAUCCAGAUAUAUGAUUUAUCUAUGGAAGAAUGUGUGUCUAUUGACCACUGUGAUGCUGAGAGGAACUGGGUUUUCAAUUAAGAUGCUGGUGAAGACAUAGCAGUAACUAACAACUUGUAUUUCUCAGUCUGCCAUUCUAAAAUUAAGAAGACUCAUUCAAUGGCAUCUUAUUUCCAAACCCUAACCCACCCCAAUAUGCAGGGCCUUCAGGUGGUACCAACUGCCUAUCAUGAACAGGUAUCCUUCAGGCAGAAUGGAAAUGUAUUUAUGCCUGCAACUGAGUGGAAGGUUUGCAAAUUAUUUAUUGGUUUGUCCUCUCUAUGCCAAUCCAAGGAGGAAAUUUGUUGCUUUUCCCCUGAGAUGUCUGGACAAGUCCUUAAGGAUAUACGGGCCUGUUAGAUGACAGCCAACCAUUACCUAUAUGAUCACUUAUUUGCUCUGGCUGAAGAAAACCUACAGGCUUCUUACAUCAAAAAUCUUGUUAACUGUGGUGUUGCUGGUGGUCGUGCUUAAGGGCUAAGAUGUGGACAGGAGCUAUUUUAUUAUUAUUGGUGGUUGACUAGUGUAUAGGGUUACUAUAAUUUUGAUACUGUGGUGGCCUCUGGCUAACUACAAAAAAGCUAUGACUGACUAGGGGUCCAUAAAGAUACUGGCAUUAUUAUACAUGUGGGCAACAUUAUCUCAAGUUAAAGCAUACAUUUGCGCAAACUGAAGAUGUCAUCAAUAAAGAUGUGAAAUUGAGGGCUUUAUCACACUUUUCUUUAAAAAAAAAAUCUAAUUCCUAGAUAUUUUCCAGCAGGCCUUUCAACUUCAUUACAAACAUCAUAUAAUUAUUAAUCUACAAAUUAAACUUAAACAACUGUGCAUAUGACCAAUAUAUAAUCAUUUUCCAGCAGUGAAAGUAAUAUGACAGUUUGCAAUUACAAAUAAAAGCUAGUCCUUAUUGUCAGGAAAAAGUUAUCUUUGCUGCUUUUCAUUAUUUCAGAAACAAAAGCUUUUAAAAGUGUGUCCUCCUCUAAUCGAAUUUAACUCUGCCCGCACCACAACCUCUUGAAUAAACUUAGUAGUCAUGGGAUAACAGGGCAGGUUCUUUUAUGAACUGGCAACAUAUUAAAGAACAGGAAACAGAGCAGGAAUAAAUGGACAAUAUGCACAAUGAGGAAAGAAAGAAGUGGGGUCCUGCAAGUAUCUGUAUUGGGACUGGUGCUUUUCAACUUGUUCAUAAAAUGAUCUGCAGUUAGGAGUAAGCAGCAUGGUAACCCCAUUUACAGACGAUACUGAAUUAUUCAGGAUGGUGUAAACUAAAAUGGAUCACAAAGCAAUCCAAAAGGAUCUCUCUGAAUAGUGGAUGGGCAAUCAAGUGGCAAAGAUGGUUCAAUAUAAAUAAGUGUGAAGUGAUUGCCCGGGGGGCGGGGGAAAUUCCCAGCUUCACAUGUACAAUGAUGGGAUCUGAGCUGUUGAGAUCUAAACAAAAGAGAGAUGCUGGGGUUGUGGUGGAUCGUUCACUGAACAUGUUGACUCAGUGUGCAGCAGCUGCGAAAAGACAAACUGCAUUGUAGGAAUGAUUAGGAAAAACAAUGAAAAAUAAAAUUGCU